AAUUAAUGAACUUGAUAAAAGUAUUUAUUUUGAAAAUAAAUAAAAGAAUAUAAAAUUUCUAUUAAUUU
rnacentral:tRNA from 1 species